GGUUAAGCGACUAAGCGUACACGGUGGAUGCCCUGGCAGUCAGAGGCGAUGAAGGACGUGCUAAUCUGCGAAAAGCGUCGGUAAGGUGAUAUGAACCGUUAUAACCGGCGAUGUCCGAAUGGGGAAACCCAGUGCAAUUCGUUGCACUAUCGUUAACUGAAUACAUAGGUUAACGAGGCGAACCGGGGGAACUGAAACAUCUAAGUACCCCGAGGAAAAGAAAUCAACCGAGAUUCCCCCAGUAGCGGCGAGCGAACGGGGAGCAGCCCAGAGUCUGAAUCAGCUUGUGUGUUAGUGGAACGGUCUGGAAAGUCCGACGGUACAGGGUGAUAGUCCCGUACACCAAAAUGCACAGGUUGUGAACUCGAAGAGUAGGGCGGGACACGUGGUAUCCUGUCUGAAUAUGGGGGGACCAUCCUCCAAGGCUAAAUACUCCUGACUGACCGAUAGUGAACCAGUACCGUGAGGGAAAGGCGAAAAGAACCCCGGCGAGGGGAGUGAAAAAGAACCUGAAACCGUGUACGUACAAGCAGUGGGAGCACCUUCGGGUGUGACUGCGUACCUUUUGUAUAAUGGGUCAGCGACUUAUAUUCUGUAGCAAGGUUAACCGUAUAGGGGAGCCGCAGGGAAACCGAGUCUUAACUGGGCGUUAAGUUGCAGGGUAUAGACCCGAAACCCGGUGAUCUAGCCAUGGGCAGGUUGAAGGUUGGGUAACACUAACUGGAGGACCGAACCGACUAAUGUUGAAAAAUUAGCGGAUGACUUGUGGCUGGGGGUGAAAGGCCAAUCAAACCGGGAGAUAGCUGGUUCUCCCCGAAAGCUAUUUAGGUAGCGCCUCGUGAAUUCAUCUUCGGGGGUAGAGCACUGUUUCGGCUAGGGGGUCAUCCCGACUUACCAACCCGAUGCAAACUACGAAUACCGAAGAAUGUUAUCACGGGAGACACACGGCGGGUGCUAACGUCCGUCGUGAAGAGGGAAACAACCCAGACCGCCAGCUAAGGUCCCAAAGUCAUGGUUAAGUGGGAAACGAUGUGGGAAGGCACAGACAGCCAGGAUGUUGGCUUAGAAGCAGCCAUCAUUUAAAGAAAGCGUAAUAGCUCACUGGUCGAGUCGGCCUGCGCGGAAGAUGUAACGGGGCUAAACCAUGCACCGAAGCUGCGGCAGCGACACUAUGUGUUGUUGGGUAGGGGAGCGUUCUGUAAGCCUGUGAAGGUGACCUGUGAGGGUUGCUGGAGGUAUCAGAAGUGCGAAUGCUGACAUAAGUAACGAUAAAGCGGGUGAAAAGCCCGCUCGCCGGAAGACCAAGGGUUCCUGUCCAACGUUAAUCGGGGCAGGGUGAGUCGACCCCUAAGGCGAGGCCGAAAGGCGUAGUCGAUGGGAAACAGGUUAAUAUUCCUGUACUUGGUGUUACUGCGAAGGGGGGACGGAGAAGGCUAUGUUAGCCGGGCGACGGUUGUCCCGGUUUAAGCAUGUAGGCUGGUUAUCCAGGCAAAUCCGGAUAAUCAAGGCUGAGGUGUGAUGACGAGGCACUACGGUGCUGAAGUAACAAAUGCCCUGCUUCCAGGAAAAGCCUCUAAGCAUCAGGUAACAUCAAAUCGUACCCCAAACCGACACAGGUGGUCAGGUAGAGAAUACCAAGGCGCUUGAGAGAACUCGGGUGAAGGAACUAGGCAAAAUGGUGCCGUAACUUCGGGAGAAGGCACGCUGGUGUGUAGGUGAAGUCCCUGCGGAUGGAGCUGAGACCAGUCGAAGAUACCAGCUGGCUGCAACUGUUUAUUAAAAACACAGCACUGUGCAAACACGAAAGUGGACGUAUACGGUGUGACGCCUGCCCGGUGCCGGAAGGUUAAUUGAUGGGGUUAUCCGUAAGGAGAAGCUCUUGAUCGAAGCCCCGGUAAACGGCGGCCGUAACUAUAACGGUCCUAAGGUAGCGAAAUUCCUUGUCGGGUAAGUUCCGACCUGCACGAAUGGCGUAAUGAUGGCCAGGCUGUCUCCACCCGAGACUCAGUGAAAUUGAACUCGCUGUGAAGAUGCAGUGUACCCGCGGCAAGACGGAAAGACCCCGUGAACCUUUACUAUAGCUUGACACUGAACAUUGAGCCUUGAUGUGUAGGAUAGGUGGGAGGCUUUGAAGCGUGGACGCCAGUCUGCGUGGAGCCAACCUUGAAAUACCACCCUUUAAUGUUUGAUGUUCUAACGUUGGCCCCUGACCGGGGUUGCGGACAGUGUCUGGUGGGUAGUUUGACUGGGGCGGUCUCCUCCCAAAGCGUAACGGAGGAGCACGAAGGUUAGCUAAUCCUGGUCGGACAUCAGGAGGUUAGUGCAAUGGCAUAAGCUAGCUUGACUGCGAGCGUGACGGCGCGAGCAGGUGCGAAAGCAGGUCAUAGUGAUCCGGUGGUUCUGAAUGGAAGGGCCAUCGCUCAACGGAUAAAAGGUACUCCGGGGAUAACAGGCUGAUACCGCCCAAGAGUUCAUAUCGACGGCGGUGUUUGGCACCUCGAUGUCGGCUCAUCACAUCCUGGGGCUGAAGUAGGUCCCAAGGGUAUGGCUGUUCGCCAUUUAAAGUGGUACGCGAGCUGGGUUUAGAACGUCGUGAGACAGUUCGGUCCCUAUCUGCCGUGGGCGCUGGAGAAUUGAGGGGGGCUGCUCCUAGUACGAGAGGACCGGAGUGGACGCAUCACUGGUGUUCGGGUUGUCAUGCCAAUGGCACUGCCCGGUAGCUAAAUGCGGAAGAGAUAAGUGCUGAAAGCAUCUAAGCACGAAACUUGCCCCGAGAUGAGUUCUCCCUGAGACUUUAAGUCUCCUGAAGGAACGUUAAAGACGAUGACGUUGAUAGGCCGGGUGUGUAAGCGCAGCGAUGCGUUGAGCUAACCGGUACUAAUGAACCGUGAGGCUUAACCUU
rnacentral:rRNA from 1 species